UAAUCAUAACCAUAACCCCUCUGUGGGAUCUCAUCAAUGCCCCAAAGGGCGAUACAACAUGUGUUGAGUUGGUUUACAUAAACAUCACAAACCUCUAAGAUCAUGUAUAAAAAGGGAUACCUUACAUAUUGGGUCAAGCACAAUCUCUAAUCCUCAAUAUCAAUACAUUACAUGUCUAUACUGUACUUUUACAUAACAUCAUAAUCAUUUAUCAUGUCCACACUAGCUAUUAUAGAGACAAGACUUCAUGACUCUUGCCGACCUCCUGGUCUACCCUGUACCUGCAAACCUGGGGAAUUUGGGAGAGGGGUGAGCUACUAGAGCCUAGUGAGCAGAAUAAUAAAGCAUUUAAAACAUAUGAUAACAUGGAAUGCAUCACAUCACAGCUAAUCACAUCAAGGAUGAACUUGCCACCAAUAGCCCUCUACAUAGUCCAACUGUGCCAGAACGUAGAAUGGGUCCUGGUCUUUCUCUUACAUAACAUAGCAUAACAUAACAGUCCAACUGUGCCAGAACGUAGAAUGGGUCCUGGUCUUUCUCUUACAUAGUGCCAGCGAACGUAGAAUGGGUCCCACUGGUCUUACAUUCCGUACCGUACAUAUCACAUCAUCACAUCAUAGAUCGAGAGCUAUGGAUCAUCCAACAUUCAUCCACAUCAACAUUAAAAUAUGCAAUGCAACAUAUUCGUGAAUUCUAAUGCAAACAACCUAAAACAUCACAUGGCAUUCAUGAUGCAUGAACAUGCUCAAAACUUUACAAUUGAUUUACUUUAAAAUGUAAGGGUUUAUUCUACUCACCUCUGGAUAGCUCUGACCAGACACUGGGGCAACAGACUCACUGCUGGGGUCCUCGGUUCCUCGGGUCUGAACCUACACAGGUGGACUCAAAUGAGGGACUAAACAACUAGAACAUAACUCUAAAAACAUCCCCCAAAAACCCCCUAAAACUCCUCAAAACAUCCAUGCAAAAAUAUGCAAAGGAAGG
rnacentral:lncRNA from 1 species